AGCGAACGCUGGCGGCAGGCCUAACACAUGCAAGUCGAACGGAUCCUUCGGGAUUAGUGGCGGACGGGUGAGUAACACGUGGGAACGUGCCCUUUGGUUCGGAACAACUCAGGGAAACUUGAGCUAAUACCGGAUGUGCCCUUCGGGGGAAAGAUUUAUCGCCAUUGGAGCGGCCCGCGUCUGAUUAGCUAGUUGGUGAGGUAAAGGCUCACCAAGGCGACGAUCGGUAGCUGGUCUGAGAGGGUGAUCAGCCACAUUGGGACUGAGACACGGCCCAAACUCCUACGGGAGGCAGCAGUGGGGAAUCUUGCGCAAUGGGCGAAAGCCUGACGCAGCCAUGCCGCGUGAAUGAUGAAGGUCUUAGGAUUGUAAAAUUCUUUCACCGGGGACGAUAAUGACGGUACCCGGAGAAGAAGCCCCGGCUAACCUCGUGCCAGCCGCCGCGGUAAUAC
rnacentral:rRNA from 1 species